rnacentral:rRNA from 1 species
AUUGAACGCUGGCGGCAGGCCUAACACAUGCAAGUCGAGCGGAUGAAGGGAGCUUGCUCCUGGAUUCAGCGGCGGACGGGUGAGUAAUGCCUAGGAAUCUGCCUGGUAGUGGGGGAUAACGUCCGGAAACGGGCGCUAAUACCGCAUACGUCCUGAGGGAGAAAGUGGGGGAUCUUCGGACCUCACGCUAUCAGAUGAGCCUAGGUCGGAUUAGCUAGUUGGUGGGGUAAAGGCCUACCAAGGCGACGAUCCGUAACUGGUCUGAGAGGAUGAUCAGUCACACUGGAACUGAGACACGGUCCAGACUCCUACGGGAGGCAGCAGUGGGGAAUAUUGGACAAUGGGCGAAAGCCUGAUCCAGCCAUGCCGCGUGUGUGAAGAAGGUCUUCGGAUUGUAAAGCACUUUAAGUUGGGAGGAAGGGCAGUAAGUUAAUACCUUGCUGUGUUGACGUUACCAGCAGAAUAAGCACCGGCUAACUUCGUG